rnacentral:tRNA from 1 species
CAGAUUGUAGCUUAUUUAUUAAAGCUUAUUUUUUACAUAAAUAUUAAAACUUUUUGUUCUGUCUGA